CUGAUUUGAUGCUUGCAUUAAUGAAAGAUGAGCGGCGGACGGGUGAGUAACGCGUGGGUAACCUGCCCUAUACACAUGGAUAACAUACUGAAAAGUUUACUAAUACAUGAUAAUAUAUAUUUACGGCAUCGUAGAUAUAUCAAAGUGUUAGCGGUAUAGGAUGGACCCGCGCCUGAUUAGCUAGUUGGUGAGAUAACUGCCCACCAAGGCGACGAUCAGUAGCCGACCUGAGAGGGUGAUCGGCCACAUUGGAACUGAGACACGGUCCAAACUCCUACGGGAGGCAGCAGUGGGGAAUAUUGCACAAUGGGCGCAAGCCUGAUGCAGCAACGCCGCGUGAACGAUGAAGGUCUUCGGAUCGUAAAGUUCUGUUGCAGGGGAAGAUAAUGACGGUACCCUGUGAGGAAGCCCCGGCUAACUACGUGCCAGCAGCCGCGGUAAUACGUAGGGGGCUAGCGUUAUCCGGAUUUACUGGGCGUAAAGGGUGCGUAGGUGGUCUUUCAAGUCGGUGGUUAAAGGCUACGGCUCAACCGUAGUUAGCCUCCGAAACUGGAAGACUUGAGUGCAGGAGAGGAAAGUGGAAUUCCCAGUGUAGCGGUGAAAUGCGUAGAUAUUGGGAGGAACACCAGUAGCGAAGGCGGCUUUCUGGACUGCAACUGACACUGAGGCACGAAAGCGUGGGUAGCAAACAGGAUUAGAUACCCUGGUAGUCCACGCUGUAAACGAUGAGUACUAGGUGUCGGGGGUUACCCCCCUCGGUCCGCAGCUAACGCAUUAAGUACUCCGCCUGGGAGUACGCACGCAAG
rnacentral:rRNA from 1 species